CGCCCGGGACCAGACGUGACGUUUUGACGGCUGCUGACGCAAGGACCAGAUUCCUGCUUACCCGGCUCGGCGCGCCCUCCAGCGGCUGAGCCGGGAAGCGCAGCAUGCGCCGGCUGGGGCGCUGAAGCCCAUGGUCUCUUCUGUUUUAGAGGGGAGGGCUGGGGAUUUACAUCUGUUACUUCCAAGUGGAGCCACUUCUAUUAUUCCUUCGGUGUCAGUCUUUAAAGUGUCUCUUUUGUUUGUUUGUUUUCCGAGAUAGGGUUUCUCUGUGUAACAACUCUGGCUGCCCUGGAACUAACUCUGUAGACCAGGCUGGCCUCGAAUUUACAGACACCCACCUGCUUCUGCCUCCCCAGUGCUGGGAUUGAAGGCAUGUACCACCACCGCCCGGCUUGCAAGUGGGUUUUUCUUUUUAAUAAUUAUUAAUUAGGAAAUGUUCAGCACUUUCAGAUUUGGGGACGUCUUAUAUAACUUUAAAGCUAAAUUAUUUGGGGGCAGGAACUGAGAUGUGGCCCAUUGGUAGACCCCAUAAGACCCUCCUAUCCUCUACAGAGACACAUGUACUCACACUCAUUUUUGAAUUGGUGCAGGAAUAGAUGAGUCAAUGAACGAGAACAGAGUUUAAAAAUACACAGGAAGCCGGGAGGUGGUGGUGCAUGCCUUUAAUUGCAGCACUCGGAGGCAGAGGCAGUGCACCGCCACCACCUAGCCUCAACUGGUGUUUCUUGAAGACCUAGUAUGUGCCCAUCACUAUUUUAGAUCUGGGAGGACCCAGUAGUAAACUGCUCUAAUAAUUUACAUUUUAGAGGGGGAGACUGGACAAUACACGUAUAAGCAAGAUCACUUCAGACAAUGCAACCGGACACUGACUAACACAAUCCCUAAUCCAAUAUGGAAGUUCUCCGAAGCUAGAUGUUUCCCUUCAGCCUUCAGAGGGAGCACUGAUCCUGCUGGAACCCUUGUUUUGGACUUAUGGCCACCACAAGUAUGAGACAGAGAAUGAAAACAUCCAAGUAAGGAAUCUAGAGACCACUGGGCAAGUGAAACUUCUGAAGAAAAAUAAUGGAUCAUCAAGAGACAAUGUCCCAAGAAAAACAGUCAAUUGGACAAGUGGUUUCACCCACCUCCGGCUGACAGGCCUGAAAUGCCUGCUCAGAGCCCCAGGCUAGUGCCUUCCAGGUUCUGUGCAAAUUGUGGACACCUUUGGCUUGACUGCUGUGUUCUACUGAAGGGACCAGCUCCCCAUUUCGGCAGCCAUAACAGCCGAACAUGUGCUUGUCUGACCUUGUCUUAAUCACUAGGAAGUCAGAUGCCUGCCUCGUGGCAAGGAACCAAUCAGAA